UUGCAUCUGUACUGAACAUGUACACUUUUUAUGUUAUUAUUCCCUAAAUAAUACUGUAAGAUAACUAUAUAUAUAUUUACAUUGUAUUAGGUAACAUUAGUAAUCUAGAGAUGAUUCUAGAUAUAUGGGUGGAUGUAUAUAAGUACAAAUAGUACACCAUUAUAUAUAAGGGACUUGAGCAUCCCCAGAUUUUGCAAGGGUGGGUGGAUAAUCCUGGCACCAAUCCCCAUGGAUACUGAGGGACAACUAUGUAAUAGCACACUACAAUUUUAGCAUAAUGCAUAGAAAAAUGUCAUUUAAUCAAGCUCUAUGGUAAUAUGUUUAAAAUCUUGCCUUAGUUUCUCACAUUUUGCCAUCAAACCCUUUUACUGACACUGCUGGAGGAAUAUGAUCCUAUUUCAAAACAAAAGAUAUACUGAUCUAUCCCUUUAAGGUGCACUGUUAGCACUGCGGCCUGCUACCCAUAGAAAGCUGACUCAAUCAGGAGUACAGAGAUUCCAGAAAGGACCUGGGAAGCACUGUCUUCCAGGAAAAACAGCAGAAUGUACCAUUCAAAAGUAAUCCCCAAAGAUGGUAAUAGACUUUCAUUAGGGAAUUACAUUCCUUUCAGUGGUAUACAAACAUCUACUAUAACUAGAUGAUUUUACAAAGAAACAGGGUUAAUCUUGAUAAGGAAAAUAUCCGAUUUCACUUUUAUUAACUGAAAACCAUAACCCUUUCAUGCUUACUUUUUUCUCAGGCCUGCUACAGACCAAUCAUGAUUGGGACAGUUGUUUCUGCUAGGGUAGUUUGAAUUUUUAUUAUAAUGGCUAGAAAUGGCAGGGAUAGAACUAAAAAGCAUAGUAUAGGGCAUGGUGCCAGCUACCUUAUCUGCAUCUGCUAUGAAAUAUCAGCUGACUAUAGUCUCUAGUGGCAAAAAAUAAUUCUUAACCAUGACCAUGAACUUUAGUCUCUGUGUCAUGGGCCGGCAACUUUUUACAUCUGUAGUUGAAUACAGGUUUGUUUGGGUUUCUGAGCAACCCUGCAGAAAAAUUUUAUUUGAAAUUAAAAAAGUCUCCACAAAACUGUACAAAUUACCAAUUCUUGUGAGACUUCCAAUUCACUAAAUAAAGGAAAUUUGAGUCUGACAACUGGUGGAAAGACAUGAGAAAGAAAACAAAAGGUAAAAGACUCUUUAUUCAAAAGAAUGGAGAGAAAAGGGAACAUUCAAUCAUAAAGUAUAGAGAGGGAUAAAGCUUUUAUCUCUCCAAAUGCUGGAACCAUGUGUUAGGAGAUCUGCUUUAAGCACAAAAGAGGUAUUUCAGGAAAAUUUCAUAACACAGAAGAUAACACAUCUGAGGAAAUUAGUAAUCCAAGAAACAUCGCAGUUUCAAUGAAAACAUAAGUUCAUUGUCAAUCAUGUAAGUGAUUGACAAUUUAUAUAAAGUAGGAUGCUUGGAAAUAUAUCCUAGCUUUUGUGUUGACAUCAGGGUACCAAGAGAAAACUGUUCUGGACCUGAAGUAAGCUGAAUGGACAUACCCAAUACUGUACUCAUGUUCUGUUACUCCAUGUUCUUGUAAAACAAAAACCCAGCUCUCUCAAUAAUUAGUUCACAAUAAGCACAGAUCUACUGCCCACAUAGAUCUACUGCUCCUCCCCUGUAGAACCACUGCUGCAUCUUUAUAGUCAUUCUGUAACCAAAAGGAAAGGUUCUAGAACCGCAUCCUGAAACACUGAUAGAUGAAAUCUGUCCUCACAAGGCUCUAUGUAAGGGAAAGAAGCUAAAAACUAUAACUGCAGGGGUGGGGGGCUCUGUACCUCUCACUGUUAAAAGUCCAAUUUUAAAUCCCAGACUGUGAAAUUUGUGAGCCAAGAACAUUAAUUUUUUUGUCAUUACUCCUAUCUUAGUAGUACUUUCAACACACGUUUUACUUCUCUUUGCAGUGCUUUUGUUUUUCCCUAAAAAUAAAAGUUACAGUAUUGGUAUUUGAAAUUACCAUGUGCUAUACAAUUUCUAUGUAACUGGAAAGACAAUGUGGGGGUUUUUACCCCCUUAUAAAACACAAAGGAGAAAGACUUAGCACACCACAGACUACAUAUGUGCAUUUAAGAAAGAGGAAGAGACAUGUAGGUAACUGGAACUACAAAAGAAGUCCUCACUUUUUAUCAAUCCCUGAUUGUCAUUCCUCAACCUCUGCUGAUAGAUUUGUUUUGUGCUGAUUUUCAAAGACAUCCUUCACAGUUACUAUUUAGUCAGCUCUUUUCUGUGAGUGUGGCCCAACUUUAAACAAUGUACCCAACUUUUCUCUGAAGGGAAGAAAGAACCUCCACUUUGACUAUGGCUCUGUCUAAAUAAGGUCGGAGUUUGAGUUCCGUAGCUUUAGCAGCUCAUGACAAGAGCCUCGGGUGAUCACUGACAUCAUAAAAGAGUGUCAAUUGUUAAAUCAACAACAGCAGUCACUGUGCACUUGCUCCCUAUGUAGAACCUCUGUCCUUAAUGAGUUGUACUAUGAGCAUUAAAGGUGCCAUGUAUGAUACGACAAUCACACAAGCUCUGGGACUGAAGUUAACCCUUGAGUCGAGGAGCACAGACAGUGUGGGUGAGAGAGCCAGGACCAAAUGGGGGAGGAGCCCCACAUUCGCAGCCCUGAUCUUGAGGGAGCAAGAGGGAGCCCAAAGUUCCCACUCAUCAAUCCCAUUUGGUAGUUUUAUUAAGGCAAUGUAGUUGCAAGAGAACAAGAACCAGUAA